CGGUGAUCAUGGCGAGCGGGAAACGCCCGGCUCCAUUCCGAACCCGGAAGCUAAGCUGCUCAGCGCCGAUGGUACUGCAGGGGGGACCCUGUGGGAGAGUAGGACGUCGCCGGACU
rnacentral:rRNA from 1 species